rnacentral:rRNA from 1 species
AUUGAACGCUGGCGGAAUGCUUUACACAUGCAAGUCGAACGGUAGAGGGGGCAACCCCUCGAGAGUGGCGAACGGGUGAGUAAUAUAUCGGAACGUGCCCAGUCGUGGGGGAUAACGUAGCGAAAGUUACGCUAAUACCGCAUACGAUCUAAGGAUGAAAGCGGGGGAUCGCAAGACCUCGCGCGAUUGGAGCGGCCGAUAUCAGAUUAGGUAGUUGGUGGGGUAAAGGCCCACCAAGCCAACGAUCUGUAGCUGGUCUGAGAGGACGACCGGCCACACUGGAACUGAGACACGGUCCAGACUCCUACGGGAGGCAGCAGUGGGGAAUUUUGGACAAUGGACGCAAGUCUGAUCCAGCCAUUCCGCGUGCAGGAUGAAGGCCCUCGGGUUGUAAACUGCUUUUGUACGGAACGAAAAGGUCUCUCUUAAUACGGGGGACUCAUGACGGUACCGUAAGAAUAAGCACCGGCUAACUACGUGCCAGCCGCCGCCGUAA